rnacentral:rRNA from 1 species
UACGUAGGGUGCAAGCGUUAAUCGGAAUUACUGGGCGUAAAGCGUGCGCAGGCGGUUUGGUAAGUCAGGUGUGAAAUCCCCGGGCUUAACCUGGGAACUGCGUUUGAUACUGGCAGGCUUGAGUAUGGGAGAGGGGGGUGGAAUUCCACGUGUAGCAGUGAAAUGCGUAGAGAUGUGGAGGAACACCAAUGGCGAAGGCAGCCCCCUGGGCUAAUACUGACGCUCAUGCACGAAAGCGUGGGGAGCAAACAGG